UGAGGAAUUUUCCGCAAUGGGCGAAAGCCUGACGGAGCAAUGCCGCGUGAAGGAAGACGGCCCUCGGGUUGUAAACUUCUUUUCUCAUAGAAGAAGAAAUAUAUGACGGUAUAUGAGGAAUAAGCAUCGGCUAAUUCCGUGCCAGCAGCCGCGGUAAUACGGGAGAUGCAAGCGUUAUCCGGAAUUAUUGGGCGUAAAGAGUUUGUAGGUGGUUGAGUGUGUUUAAUGUUAAAUCUCUAAGCUUAACUUUGAAACUGCGUUAAAAACUGCUCAACUUGAGUAUGGUAGGGGCAAAGGGAAUUUCCAGUGUAGCGGUGAAAUGCGUAGAUAUUGGAAAGAACACCAAAAGCGAAGGCACUUUGCUAGGCCAAUACUGACAUUGAGAAACGAAAGCUAAGGG
rnacentral:rRNA from 1 species